GGAAAACUUCAGGAUGAAAAAUUAAUUGACUCAUUUACUUCCAAGCUAAAGGUCUCACAGUUUUUCCUGCGCACUCAAAGAAUGAUGGAUUGGAGGUAAUGCAAAUUCACUACCAUUUUAUAUGCUGGUGCCUUCUUCAUAGACAGGAAACAUAGCUCAGUAUCAUCUUGUAAAAUGCCUUAACUGUAAAGGCCUAGUUCAGUGCUGA
rnacentral:lncRNA from 1 species